rnacentral:miRNA from 1 species
UCAUUCGCUCAUUCACACAGU